CAGGCACCCAGGAAAGUACUCGGCGGCAGCACCGCAGCCCCCAGGACAGAGCCAUCUUCCAGCCGCGCCUCAUCUUUGGAUCGAAGAUCGACCAAGCAGGCCUGCUGGCGCUGGGUUGGAACUGCUGGGCUGGCAGCUAGGAGGAGGGAAGGCGGGCUGUGCGGCGCUCCACUGCGUAGCCUGGCGGGAACUGUCUCCCCGAGCCGGUCGAUACCACCUGUAAGGCUGCAGGGCAGAGUGCUCCCUGCCUGGCACAAUAGGCAUGAGUCAUGGCAAGGAGGAACUGACAACCCUGGAGCGGAAGGUGAUCCGCCUGGCAGUCGAGCAGUCGAGGCUAGGCAAGUUCUGAGGAAAUGCAGUCCCUCCCCUUUCCUUUUUUUCCACCCCCUAGCUAUAUACAGCUCUAGAUGCAGACCUAGACCUCUGCAAAACAAUAAAGCGGAAGAAAUUUGGGUCUGCCCAUGUGCUCUUACUGCACUGCGUCCUCCCCUCAUCUCCUUUCUGAUCUUUAUGUUUUUCUGUCUCUCUUUGUUUCCCCCGUCAACACAUACACGCGGUGCGAAAGAUACCAGCCACAGCAUCUUAAGACUUAAAGGUUAUCCAACCCCAUCCUCCCACUGCUGCUUCAACAAUGUGCUUAACGCGUAGUGCUGCAAUCACUGCUUAGAGAGAGAGAGCAUGAGAAUGGGAGAGGGGCAGAGGAGAGAGUAUGGAGCCCUAGAUGGGACUUGAUCCCACAACCUGGGAUAAUGACCUAUGUCAAGAUCAAGAGUCGGAUGCUCAACUGACUGAGCCACCCAGGCAUCCCUGGAUAUCUCUUUGAGGCACAAGUUUCCUUUCCUUUGGAUGUAUAUAAAAAGUGUUAUUUCUACAAAAACAGACACAUAGACCAAUGGAAUAGAAUAGAGACUCCAGAACUGGACCCACAAAAGUAUUGCCAACUAAUCUUUGACAAAGCAGGAAAGAAUAUACAAUGGAAAAAAAGACAGUCUCUUUCACAAAUGGUGCUGGGAGAACUGGACAGCAACAUGAAGAACAAAGAAACUAGACCACUAUCUUACACCAUUCACAAAAAUAAACUCAAAAUAGAUGAAGGACCUGAAUGUGAGACAGGAAACCAUCAAAACCCUAGAGGAGAAAUCAGGAAAAAACCUCUCUGACCUCAGCCGCAGAAAUUUCUUACUUGACACAUCUCCAAAGGCAAGAGAAUUAAAAGCAAAAAUCAACUAUUGGGACCUCAUGAAGAUAAAAAACUUCUGCACUGCAAAGGAAACAAUCAACAAAAAUAAAAGGCAACCAACGGAAUGGGAAAAGAUAUUUGCAAAUGACAUAUCGGACAAAGGGCUAGUAUCCAAAAUCUAUAAAGAGCUCACCAAACUCCACACCUGAAAAACAAAUAAUCCAGUGUGGAAAUGGACAGAAAACAUGAAUAGACACUUCUCUAAAGAAGGCAUCCAGAUGGCCAACCAACACAUGAAAAGAUGCUCAACGUCACUUCUCAUGAGGGAAAUACAAAUCAAAACCACACUCAGAUACCACCUCACACCAGUCAGAGUGGCUAAAAUGAACAAAUCAAGAGACUCUAGAUGCUGGAGAGGAUGUGGAGAAACGGGAACCCUCUUGCACUGUCGGUGGGCAUGCAAACUGGUGCAGCCACUCUGGAAAACAGUGUGGAGGUUCCUCAAAAAAUUAAAAAUAAAUCUACCCUAUGACCCAGCAACAGCACUGCUAGGUAUUUACCCAAGGGAUACAGGAGUGCUGAUGCAUAGGGGCACUUGUACCCCAAUGUUUAUAGCAGCACUUUCAACAAUAGCCAAAUUAUGGAAAGAGCCUAAAUGUCCAUCAACUGAUGAGUGGAUAAAGAACUUGUGGUUUAUAUACACAAUGGAAUACUACGCGGCAAUGAGAAAGAAUGAAAUCUGGCCUUUUGUAGCAACGUGGGUGGAACUGGAGAGUGUGAUGCUAAGUGAAAUAAGCCAUACAGAGAAAGACAGAUACCAUAUGGUUUCACUCUUAGGUGGAUCCUGAGAAACUUAACAGAAACCCAUGGGGGAGGGGAAGAAAAAAAAAAAAGAGGUUAGAGUGGGAGAGAGCCAAAGCAUAAGAGACUCUUAAAAACUGAGAACAAACUGAGGGUUGAUGGGGGGUGGGAGGGAGGGGAUGGUGGGUGAUGGGUAUUGAGGAGGGCACCUUUUGGGAUGAGCACUGGGUGUUGUAUGGAAACCAAUUUGACAAUAAAUUUCAUAUAUUAAAAAAAAACUGAGAAUAAACUGAGGGCUGUUGGGUGGUAGGUGAGGGGAAAGUGGGUGAUGGUUGAUGGGUGAUUGGUGAGGGCACCUGUUAGGAUGAGUACUGGGUGUUGUAUGGAAACCAAUUUGACAAUAAAUUUCAUAAUAAAGAAAAAUAAUAAAAAAAUAAUAAUAAAAAA